GAUGAACGCUGGCGGCGUGCCUAAUACAUGCAAGUCGAGCGAACGGACGAGAAGCUUGCUUCUCUGAUGUUAGCGGCGGACGGGUGAGUAACACGUGGAUAACCUACCUAUAAGACUGGGAUAACUUCGGGAAACCGGAGCUAAUACCGGAUAAUAUUUUGAACCGCAUGGUUCAAAAGUGAAAGACGGUCUUGCUGUCACUUAUAGAUGGAUCCGCGCUGCAUUAGCUAGUUGGUAAGGUAACGGCUUACCAAGGCAACGAUGCAUAGCCGACCUGAGAGGGUGAUCGGCCACACUGGAACUGAGACACGGUCCAGACUCCUACGGGAGGCAGCAGUAGGGAAUCUUCCGCAAUGGGCGAAAGCCUGACGGAGCAACGCCGCGUGAGUGAUGAAGGUCUUCGGAUCGUAAAACUCUGUUAUUAGGGAAGAACAUAAGUGUAAGUAACUGUGCACAUCUUGACGGCACCUAAUCAGAAAGCCACGGCUAACUACGUG
rnacentral:rRNA from 1 species